UACGUAGGGUGCAAGCGUUGUCCGGAAUUAUUGGGCGUAAAGAGCUCGUAGGCGGUUUGUCGCGUCGGCUGUGAAAACCCGGGGCUCAACCCCGGGCCUGCAGUCGAUACGGGCAAACUAGAGUGUGGUAGGGGAGACUGGAAUUCCUGGUGUAGCGGUGAAAUGCGCAGAUAUCAGGAGGAACACCCGUGGCGAAGGCGGCCCCCUGGGCCGAACCUGACGCUGAGGCGCGAAGGCUAGGGGAGCGAACGGG
rnacentral:rRNA from 1 species